AAGGGAGACACAGGAGGAAGAACUUAAGGAGGAGAUACAGAGCGAGGGGAUACAGAGGCAGAAGAAACAGCGUGCCGGUGCCGAGACCGCUAGCCCAGGGAAAGAUGAGCGACGUCGAGGGCUGCGGAUGGGGACGAACACGAUGUCGCGGAGUUGAGCGCCUAGUAAGGCAGCCACAGGUGACCCCUGAGGACAAUUUGUCAUAGGGGCUGGUCCAGGAUGCAGACCACAGGGGACUGCGGACAAACCAGGAGGGCAGACGGAGACCAGCAGAGACACUGUUAUCAAGAAGUGUGCUAAUCAAGCCACCAAAACAGCUGCUUAUCUCGUAUCCUGAAGUUCACCGGACUUAAACCAAUAAAAACGCCUCCCCCCAUGCAUGCCCUCACUCCUCACUUCUCCACGGGCACAGAGCUCAGUGACCAAAAAUAACCGACGACAGACCCUUCCAGCCUCUCUCUCCCAACACCCCCGGCGGUGCCUGGUUUUGGUUCUCUAAGACACCUUCUAGAACUAGUCAACAGCCACCUGCUAUCAACGCUCAGCAUCUAAAUUCGAUUGUCCCGCCUCAGGUAAAUGCCAGUUACCUGUUUAUCAGAGGGAAAAAUGAAACCAGACGCUAAAAUGUCAGCUGAACAAGAAGAACAGAAGUGCAGACUCAGGUCAGAUACCUUUGGGUUGAACUAUAUCAUUGAUCCUCAACUGUCAGAAAGAGAACUUUCAACUUCUACUUCCUUCAAAAGCAUGCUUGUUCUUUACUGUAAGUUUAAAAAACAAUCAAAUAUGAAUAAAGAAAAAAACGAUCAGCAUUAGCCUGUUUUUAAUCUUCUACUUUGUUACAUGUGCAUGAUGCAUUUAUAAACACAAUACACGAAUGUGUCUCUAUUGACCUAAAAAGAUACUCCCUAGCAGAAGGAUUUCCAGCUGUGUUUUUAGUAACAUUUCUCUCUUAACCGUAACACCAAGGACUACUCCCGUCUCCCUGCCAAUACUAAGCCAGGUUAACAGCUUCUGCUUCAUUGGUUCCUCUGGUCCUUCUACGUUCUGUGUUAGUCAACUCCCCUCUCUCUCCUCUGUCACAUGUCUUUGCUGCUGAAGAGCCAUUCUGGUCACGAGAUAAAUAUUUCUGUUUAGGAACCAAGGCUACUUUAUCAGCCACUACAAAUGUAACCCGUGACAGUUGACUUUCCAACAUUCCCAAUACCCUCGAAGGGUCCUCCGCUGGUUAUAGGUUAGCGACAGCUAGGGUAACAGUAUACAUGUGAACCUAUGCUUUUGGCGGGGGUUAAGAAGCACUGUUGCAUAAAUAUUUUAAGUAGAGCCUGUACUGAAAUUCUAGAUGAAGAGGCAUUCACCGGUCCUCUGUAACAUGCUGGGGGCCCAAGGUAGCAAAUUUUUAUUGACGCUGUGAGCAAGCCUUGCCAUCUGCUGGGGGGGUCUCCAAGAUUUCACCCUAAAUGUACCCCCCUCCACACCAAAUGUUUCUAUUGUCUCUAUUUUUUUUUUUUUUUAAUGCAUUAGCUGCGCUGUGGGCCAGGUAGUGCAUGACACAACAGCCAAGGACGGUGGGUGCUCGGUGAAGCUGUCUGCAGUCACAAUUACUCGUCGCUUUGGGAGCCCAAGGGCACAAGUGCACAGUGCAUGUGCACCAGGCGGGUUUCAAGCCAAGUGUGGAGCCCAACGUGGGGACCGAACUCAACACCCUAAGAUCAAGCCUUGAGCUGAGAUCAACAUUCAGAUACUUAACCCAUAGAGCCACCUGGCACCCCUGGUGAGAUAUAUUCUCCAACUGUCCGGGGGGUGGGAAAAUGAAAUAUAUUUAAUUUUUAAAAUUUUAAAGAGAGGGUUCAAUAAAAAAAGCUUUUCUCUUUUAAGAUUAAUCCAUCAGAAAUGAAAUCGUUAACUGACAUGUAAACUUUUUUUUUUUUUUUUACCCUUCGUGGCUUGACAAAUGCAAAAGAAGAAG